UUUAAAGCGUUGAAGAGGGAAAGUACGAUUUAGCUAUUUUUCACAGAGAGCUUCGGAAGCUGAAAAGAAGCAAAAAUACAAAUCCGAACAAUGGCCUCCGAGCUUCGUGCUGAAACAAUCUGCCAAGGUUGGAGUAGGUUCCGACGAGAUUUGGUACUCGUUACCCAAACCACAGUAUAAGGAGCAUCAAUUGCGCUCACGUACUUGCAGAGGCUGUUUUGCGCAAGCAUUCAGUAAAUUAAGGUGGUACCACGUGGAUCUAAACCACGUCCUUAUC
rnacentral:ncRNA from 1 species